rnacentral:rRNA from 1 species
AUGAACGCUGGCGGCGUGCCUAAUACAUGCAAGUCGCGCGAACAGACGAGGAGCUUGCUCCUCUGACGUUAGCGGCGGACGGGUGAGUAACACGUGGAUAACCUACCUAUAAGACUGGGAUAACUUCGGGAAACCGGAGCUAAUACCGGAUAAUAUAUUGAACCGCAUGGUUCAAUAGUGAAAGACGGUUUUGCUGUCACUUAUAGAUGGAUCCGCGCCGCAUUAGCUAGUUGGUAAGGUAACGGCUUACCAAGGCAACGAUGCGUAGCCGACCUGAGAGGGUGAUCGGCCACACUGGAACUGAGACACGGUCCAGACUCCUACGGGAGGCAGCAGUAGGGAAUCUUCCGCAAUGGGCGAAAGCCUGACGGAGCAACGCCGCGUGAGUGAUGAAGGUCUUCGGAUCGUAAAACUCUGUUAUUAGGGAAGAACAAAUGUGUAAGUAACUAUGAACGUCUUGACGGUACCUAAUCAGAAAGCCACGGCUAACUACGUG